UUACGGCCAGAUCAUAUUGAAACACUAGUUCCCGCACGAUCACCGAAGUUAAGCAACGUCGAGCUUGAUCAGUACCUAGAUGGGUGACCACUUGGAAAUAUCAG